rnacentral:rRNA from 1 species
AGAGUUUGAUCCUGGUUCAGGACUAACGCUAGCGGCGUGUCUUAGCCAUGCAAGUCGCACGGGCUUAUAGCAAUAUAAGUCAGUGGCAAACGGGUGAGUAACACGUGGGUAAUCUACCUUUAGGUGUCGCAUAACAGGGGGAAACUCUUGCUAAUUCGACAUAAUAUCCUUUUUGCAUAUGCAGAGAGGAUCAAAGCGGGGGACCGUAAGGCCUCGCGCCAAAAGAUGAGCCCGUGGCCCAUUAGCUAGUUGGCGGGGUAACGGCCCACCAAGGCUUCGAUGGGUAGCCGGCCUGAGAGGGUAACCGGCCACAUUGGAACUGAGACACGGUCCAGACUCCUACGGGAGGCAGCAGGCUAGAAAAUUGGGCAAUGGGCGCAAGCCUGACCCAGUGACGCCGCGUGAAUGAUGACGGCCUUCGGGUUGUAAAGUUCUUUAGACAGGGAAGAUGGGGUGUAAUGCUAACAUCAUCGCACCUGACGUGUACCGUAGAAUAAGCUCCGGCUAACUCCGUGCCAGCAGCCGCGGUAAUACGGAGGGAGCGAGCGUUGUCCGGAAUUACUGGGCGUAAAGGGAAUGUAGGUGGAUAGGUUAGUUGGAUGUGAAAUCUUACGGCUCAACCGUAAAACUGCAUCCAAUACUGCCAAUCUGGAGUGCAGGAGAGGAGAGCGGAACUCCUAGUGUAGCGGUGGAAUGCGUAGAUAUUAGGAGGAACACCAAAAGCGAAGGCAGCUCUCUGGCCUGUUACUGACACUGAAAUUCGAAAGUUGGGGGAGCAAACAGGAUUAGAUACCCUGGNAGUCCCAACUGUAAACUAUGGGUACUAGACGUGGGGAGAAAUCUCCGUGUCGACGCUAACGCAUUAAGUACCCCGCCUGGGGAGUACGGUCGCAAGACUGAAACUCAAGGNAUUGACGGGAACCCGCA